rnacentral:sRNA from 1 species
GUUUAAAAAGGUGCUAUCCCUAAUGCCUCAAAUCUAGUGAAUCAUGGCAUACAAAGAAGUGUGAACUAGGGCUAAGUCACCUUUGUGUAGUCAAUUUGAUUGCUUUUCUUAAAUGGCACCCCCAUCUCCAGCUGUGAAGUUCAGCCAUCUGAUUUGAAAAGUGCAUUUAUAGAUGGAAAUAAUACAAAUCAGUCUCUUGCUAAUGCUGUUUUCUUUUCUUUUUUCUUUUUUUGUUUUUGUUUUUGUCUCCUUUCUCUAGCAUGAAAGACUUUCUAGGUUGGAAUCGGGAGGUAGUAAUCCUACAACCAGUGAUUCUUACGGUGACCGGGCUUCAGCAAGAGCCCGUCGGGAGGCCCGGGAGGCCCGCCUAGCCACCCUGACCAGCCGUGUAGAAGAAGACAGCAACAGAGAUUAUAAAAAACUCUAUGAGAGUGCUCUGACUGAAAACCAAAAACUGAAAACAAAACUUCAGGAAGCCCAGCUAGAGCUAGCAGAUAUAAAGUCCAAGCUUGAGAAGGUGGCCCAGCAGAAACAAGAAAAGACCUCUGACCGAUCAUCAGUGCUGGAGAUGGAGAA